GGGCGGUUAGCUCAGCGGUAGAGCAUUGCCUUCACACGGCAGGGGUCAUAGGUUCAAUCCCUAUACCGCCCACCA
rnacentral:tRNA from 1 species